rnacentral:rRNA from 1 species
AGAGUUUGAUUAUGGCUCAGGAUGAACGCUGGCGGCGUGCCUAACACAUGCAAGUCGAGCGAUUCUCUUCGGAGAAGAGCGGCGGACGGGUGAGUAACGCGUGGGUAACCUGCCCUGUACACACGGAUAACAUACCGAAAGGUAUGCUAAUACGGGAUAAAAUGUUUUGAUCGCAUGGUCGAAAUAUCAAAGCUCCGGCGGUACAGGAUGGACCCGCGUCUGAUUAGCUAGUUGGUGAGGUAAUGGCUCACCAAGGCGACGAUCAGUAGCCGACCUGAGAGGGUGAUCGGCCACAUUGGAACUGAGACACGGUCCAAACUCCUACGGGAGGCAGCAGUGGGGAAUAUUGCACAAUGGGCGAAAGCCUGAUGCAAGCAACGCCGCGUGAGCGAUGAAGGCCUUCGGGUCGUAAAGCUCUGUCCUCAAGGAAGAUAAUGACGGUACUUGAGGAGGAAGCCCCGGCUAACUACGUGCCAGCAGCGGC